UGGUAAUUCUAUGGCUAAUACAUGCGCACUCGCCUCCUUCUCUGGAGGGGCUGUGUUUAUUAGAUACAAAACCAACCCACUUUGUGGAGUCUGGGUGAUUCAUAGUAACCGAACGGAUCGCAGUUGGCUUCGGCCCGCGAUAUAUCUUUCAAGUUUCUGACCUAUCAGCUUUCGACGGUAGGGUAUUGGCCUACCGUGGCAGUGACGGGUAACGGGGAAUUAGGGUUCGAUUCCGGAGAGGGAGCCUGAGAAACGGCUACCACAUCUAAGGAAGGCAGCAGGCGCGCAAAUUACCCAAUGAAAACAGCUUCGAGGUAGUGACGAGAAAUAACAAUACAGGGCAUUUUUUGUUCUGUAAUUGGAAUGAUGGGAAUGUAAAACCCUUUCAGAUUAACAAUUGGAGGGCAAGUCUGGUGCCAGCAGCCGCGGUAAUUCCAGCUCCAAUAGUGUAUAUUAGAGUUGUUGCAGUUAAAAAGCUCGUAGUUGGAUUUCUGUCGUGGUCAUCCGGUUCCGCCGGUAUGGGUGUGCGCCUGGUUUGCCCUCGGCUUUCUUCCGUUAGCCUUCGGCGCUUCACUGCGUCUGUUGGUGUUUCGGAACUUUUACUUUGAGAAAAAUAGAGUGUUUCAAGCAGGCUUGUCGCCCUGAAUACUUCAGCAUGGAAUAAUAAGAUAGGACCUUGGUUCUAUUUUUGUUGGUUUCUAGGACUAAGGUAAUGAUUAAUAGGGACAGUUGGGGGCAUUCGUAUUUAACUGUCAGAGGUGAAAUUCUUAGAUUUGUUAAAGACGAACUACUGCGAAAGCAUUGCCCAAGGAUGUUUUCAUUAAUCAAGAAC
rnacentral:rRNA from 1 species